rnacentral:rRNA from 1 species
UACAGAGGGUGCAAGCGUUGUUCGGAAUUACUGGGCGUAAAGCGCGUGUAGGCGGCGGCGUAAGUCGAAUGUGAAAGCCCUUGGCUUAACCAAGGAAGUGCAUUCGAUACUGUGCCGCUUGAGUACCGGAGGGGAUGGCGGAAUUCCUGGUGUAGAGGUGAAAUUCGUAGAUAUCAGGAGGAACACCGGUGGCGAAGGCGCCGCUCUGGACAGUCACUGACGCUGAGGCGCGAAAGCGUGGGGAUCAAACAGG